rnacentral:rRNA from 1 species
UACGUAGGGUGCGAGCGUUGUCCGGAAUUAUUGGGCGUAAAGGGCUCGUAGGCGGUUUGUCACGUCGGGAGUGAAAACUCAGGGCUCAACCCUGAGCCUGCUUCCGAUACGGGCAGACUAGAGGUAUGCAGGGGAGAAUGGAAUUCCUGGUGUAGCGGUGAAAUGCGCAGAUAUCAGGAGGAACACCGGUGGCGAAGGCGGUUCUCUGGGCAUUACCUGACGCUGAGGAGCGAAAGUGUGGGGAGCGAACAGG